UUUAGGUUCGGAAUAAGCCCGGGAAACUGGGUCUAAUACCGAAUGUGCCCUUCGGGGGAAAGAUUUAUCGCCUUUAGAGCGGCCCGCGUCUGAUUAGCUAGUUGGUAGUGUAAUGGACUACCAAGGCUACGAUCAGUAGCUGGUCUGAGAGGAUGACCAGCCACAUUGGGACUGAGACACGGCCCAAACUCCUACGGGAGGCAGCAGUGGGGAAUCUUGCGCAAUGGGCGAAAGCCUGACGCAGCCAUGCCGCGUGAAUGAUGAAGGUCUUAGGAUUGUAAAAUUCUUUCACCGGGGACGAUAAUGACGGUACCCGGAGAAGAAGCCCCGGCUAACUUCGUGCCAGCAGCCGCGGUAAUACGAAGGGGGCUAGCGUUGCUCGGAAUUACUGGGCGUAAAGGGCGCGUAGGCGGACAUUUAAGUCAGGGGUGAAAUCCCAGAGCUCAACUCUGGAACUGCCUUUGAUACUGGGUGUCUUGAGUGUGAGAGAGGUAUGUGGAACUCCGAGUGUAGAGGUGAAAUUCGUAGAUAUUCGGAAGAACACCAGUGGCGAAGGCGACAUACUGGCUCAUUACUGACGCUGAGGCGCGAAAGCGUGGGGAGCAAACAGGAUUAGAUACCCUGGUAGUCCACGCCGUAAACGAUGAUUGCUAGUUGUCGGGCUGCAUGCAGUUCGGUGACGCAGCUAACGCAUUAAGCAAUCCGCCUGGGGAGUACGGUCGCAAGAUUAAAAACUCAAAG
rnacentral:rRNA from 1 species